rnacentral:lncRNA from 1 species
UGUGAUUAUAGAUAAAAAUUAAAAAGUAUUAGAAAAUAGGGUUAAUUUCAUACAUGCCCUUGCAAACAUAGUGAAUAGUAAAUAUAUUUCUAUAAAGUUCAGUUUUCAUAUAUUGUUCCUACAAAAGUCCAGAUAUUUUUAAAUAUAUCUCUCUGAUUUGUUAUCGUUAGAGAACCAUUAGAAAACUGUUUAUCUUUUCAAUUUUACCAUCACAAAUAUAUCCCUCCAAAAAUCAUAACAGUAUAAUAUAAGAGAAGCAGGAUUAAGUAUUUAACCUAUGGUUAACUAAAUUUUUUUAAUAGAUUUUAACGACAGGAAUAUAUUUGAAAACAUUAGGACUUUUGUAGGGAUAAUAUAUGAAAAUUGAACUUUAUAAGAAUAUAUUUGUCAUUCACUAUAUUUAUAGAGACCUGUAUGAGAUUAAUCCUAAAAAAUAUAUAUGAUACAAGUUAUUAUUAAAAAGUAAAUU